rnacentral:pre_miRNA from 1 species
UGUUAAAAAUUUCAUCUGAUUAUAUUGUUAAAAACUAGUGUGGCAGUCGAAAUAACCAGACCUUGAUACGUGACAUGCUAUGUGUACAUUAUGCUGAUAAUAUAAAGAUUAAUUUUUAACAAUAGAAAUAAAUAAUUUUUUUAACA